rnacentral:rRNA from 1 species
UACGGGGGGGGCAAGCGUUGUUCGGAAUUACUGGGCGUAAAGGGCUCGUAGGCGGCCAACUAAGUCAUACGUGAAAUCCCUCGGCUUAACCGGGGAACUGCGUCUGAUACUGGAUGGCUUGAGUUCGGGAGAGGGAUGCGGAAUUCCAGGUGUAGCGGUGAAAUUCGUAGAUAUUGGGAAGAACACCGGUGGCGAAGGCGGCCAUCUGGACCGCAACUGACGCUGAGGCGCGAAAGCGUGGGGAGCAAACAGGG